ACUCAAGUAGCUUAGAUUAGAGCAUUACAGUGAAGUUGUAAGGGGGACAUGAAUUGUCCUUGAGUG
rnacentral:tRNA from 1 species